UACGAGGGACUGGACGGGAUUGGACGGGACUGGGUACUAUAACACGAGGUAGCCCAUGUUUGGCAAUAACCGGGACUGUGUUAAAUGAGACUAUGCAGUCCCAAAACACAGCCCACACUGUCUACGAGAGCAACGCCAAAACUCAUGGGAUUGUGGAAGCCGCUGUUGUAGACGUCGAAAUCCAUUCUCGCUGGAUCUGCUCUUCGCCUCAACCUCAUCAUUCUCUCUCUCUCUCUCUCUCUCUCUCUCUCUCAUGCCAUUCUUUUGCUUCAGCCUCCUUCAACACCUCUUCUUCAGGUUCAAUUUCAUCUUCUCUCUCAUUGCACUGAUUAUUUUUCACUCUCCCCUUCAAUCCUCUACCUUCUUCUUUCUCUAUCUCCUUUAUUAUAGAUGAUUUGUUUAUGGGUUGAUAUUAUUUUAAGGAUUUGGUGUCUGGGUAGCUUGAUUUGCUGAGAAUUUUGAUCAAUUUUGUGUCUGGGUAGCUUGACCUGUUGGAGCACCAAACAUGGAUCAGGAUUGUUAUAGAAAUAAGCCAAGUUAUAAGAGUCCGGGAUUGCUAUAGAAAUUAAGGUGAAGGGUGAUAGUCCUGUGAAACAAACAUGGCCCUAAAGAUAUGGGAAUAUCCAAACUAUCCUCGUCCCCUCUCCUCUCUCUCACGGGAUGUCAUCUCUUCUCUCUAGUAAUAGACUAGUAUGCUAUUUCUAUAAUGGAAACCAGUGAAGUGCAAACCUCCUCCAUCCGUUGCUUCUUUUGAUCCCUUGAAUCACUUCAAAUUUUGAUAAAAUCUAGAACUUGUUUUCCUCUUUGAAUUUUCAUUUCAUGUAAUGAAGUUUCCAUCUCGGCCAAUUCGCCUUGUAGAUUUUGAUUGCUUGAUUUAUGGAUAUAGGUUUUUUCUUCAUUUUUGGUUGUUUGGACAUAUGGGCAGUCCGAUAAGGGUUAAUCUUCAUCAUAUUGAGAACUAGGAAGAGCCCAACAUGGCUGAUGUACUAUUUGGGUGCUAUUUCCCUAGAAAAUAAAAAGUGGAACUUCAUGAACAAA